rnacentral:rRNA from 1 species
UACGAAGGGGGCUAGCGUUGCUCGGAAUCACUGGGCGUAAAGCGCACGUAGGCGGCUUCUUAAGUCGGUGGUGAAAGCCUGGAGCUCAACUCCAGAACUGCCUUCGAUACUGAGAGUCUUGAGUCCGGGAGAGGUGAGUGGAACUGCGAGUGUAGAGGUGAAAUUCGUAGAUAUUCGCAAGAACACCAGUGGCGAAGGCGGCUCACUGGCUCAUUUCUGACGCUCAGGCGCGACAGCGUGGGGAUCAAACAGG